rfam:Cavia porcellus supercont2_22 genomic scaffold, whole genome shotgun sequence.
GGGGAUUUAGCUCAGCAGCAUAAGCACCUGCCUUGCAAGCAGGUGAUCAUGAGUGCAAUCCCUG